UACGUAGGGGGCAAGCGUGUCGGAUUUAUUGGUGCGUAAAGAGCGUGUAGGCGGCCAUACAGGUCAGCUGUGAAAACUCGAGGCUCAACCUCGAGACGUCGGUUGAAACCGUAUGGCUAGAGUCCGGAAGAGGAGAGUGGAAUUCCCGGUGUAGCGGUGAAAUGCGCAGAUAUCGGGAAGAACACCCGUGGCGAAGGCGGCUCUCUGGGACGGUACUGAACGCUGAGACG
rnacentral:rRNA from 1 species